GAAGGUGACCUGCGGAGGAUCAUUACCGAGUGCGGGCCCUCGCGGCCCAACCUCCCACCCUUGUCUCUAUACACCUGUUGCUUUGGCGGGCCCACCGGGGCCACCUGGUCGCCGGGGGACGCACGUCCCCGGGCCCGCGCCCGCCGAAGCGCUCUGUGAACCCUGAUGAAAAUGGGCUGUCUGAGUACUAUGAAAAUUGUCAAAACUUUCAACAAUGGAUCUCUUGGUUCCGGCAUCGAUGAAUAACGCAGCGAAAUGCGAUAAGUAAUGUGAAUUGCAGAAUUCCGUGAAUCAUCGAAUCUUUGAACGCACAUUGCGCCCCCUGGCAUUCCGGGGGGCAUGCCUGUCCGAGCGUCAUUUCUGCCCUCAAGCACGGCUUGUGUGUUGGGUGUGGUCCCCCCGGGGACCUGCCCGAAAGGCAGCGGCGACGUCCGUCUGGUCCUCGAGCGUAUGGGGCUCUGUCACUCGCUCGGGAAGGACCUGCGGGGGUUGGUCACCACCAUAUUUUACCACGGUUGACCUCGGAUCAGGUAGGAGUUACCCGCUGAACUUAAGCAUAUC
rnacentral:rRNA from 1 species